GUGACCUCGGAUCAGGUAGGGAUACCCGCUGAACUUAA
rnacentral:rRNA from 3 species